rnacentral:lncRNA from 1 species
CACAGUCACUUCAGGUUUUUAUUUUGCAUUUCAUUUAUGAUCCAGUUUCACAUUCUCACAGGGUCAGCAAUUACAAUAGCCACCUCCAGACAUCACCCACAGUCCGAAGCAGCCAAACAUCCAAGCUGAGGUUAAAGGUAAAGCCCGGACAUGCUUGUAAAAUAAAACAAAAUUGCACAAUUCAUCCUUCAUCUCAUUCUUCUUAAACCAAUGCCUGACACAAAGGCCGAUUGCUAAGGAACGGAAACCCCUUUCUUCUUCAUGCUUCAAACUAAACAUUAAACUUAUCCGACAGGCUGAACAAGGUCUCUUCAAUAAUUAAUGGUAAACACAUGAAAAACCAUUUAUGAUCCAUAAAUAUUUUGUUACAUAGGGUACAAAAAUACUUUUCAGGUUUUGGUUGGUUUCAAAGUUCAGGAAGAAUGAAGAGCAGUGGCAGGGUGGGGUGCACUGAGGGAGGGAGGCACAGUGAAGGCUUCUUAGGCUUGUCAGCCCUCUGGAGAAGGAGACGAUGCAGGACUCUGGAGGCGCUGUGAUCUGCUGCUAGAUGAGGAUAGUCUACAAGUCUACGUGUGUGUGUGUGUGUGUGUGUGUGUGUGUGUGUGUGUGUGUGUGUGUGUGUGUGUGUGUGUGUCAGCGGGGCCUUCAGGUCAGAAGUGGCUGCAAGACUCAGGCCUCCUUGAAGUAGGGUGGGUGUAGGAGUCAGGAAUAGAGAGAAAGACUAGGCUUGACAAGCCUCCAGUGCCAAGACCUGUUGCUAUGGCAACAGUGUGGGAACAAACCGUACAAGUUUAAGUGUCACAAUUCAUAAACAUGCAAAAUUAAAUGUCCCUUUUCCUUGAUGGGGAACUACAGAAGUAAGUUUAAGCAGGAGGUCAGGCUGUGCUGGGUUCCCAAUGAGGCUGACAAGCUGGGCCUAGGUGUCCCAGUAGGAAGGCCUCCCGAUCCUCCUGGAAGGCCUUGGAGAACUGAAGAAGAAGGAAACAAGAGCCGUCCACUGAGUCAGGCUUCAGAUUCACAGUGUCUAGAGGGAAGCAGCAGUUCUGCACAGGCCUCACGUGGCAGUAGGGCAGAGCCCUGUUUUGGCCCCACACAACCCAGGACCAACUCCAGGGUGACAAGACCUGAAGGGAGGGGAAGAGAGGUGGCCAUGAGCACAGUGGGAUGGGAGCUGGCUAUGGAGGCUGAAAAAGUGGGUGCAAGGUAACAGGAGAAAGACAGAAAGGAG